rfam:Helianthus annuus linkage group 4, whole genome shotgun sequence.
ACAACACAGCUUGAAAAUUGGACGGCUUCGUCGUCCGAAUUGUAGUCUAGAGAAGCGUCCUCAGCGGCGGACCGUGCCCAAGUCCCCUAGAAGGGGGCGCUGGAGAGGGUGAGAGCCCCAUCGUGCAGGGACCCUGUCGCACCACGAGGCGCGGUCUGCGAGUCGGGUUGUUUGGGAAACCAGCCCCAAUAGGGCGGUAAAUUCCGUACAAGGCAAAAUACUGGCGUGUAGUAAUGAAUGGUGGCA